rnacentral:rRNA from 1 species
UACGUAGGCAGCAAGCGUUGUUCGGAUUUACUGGGCGUAAAGGGUGUGUAGGCGGUCCUCUAAGUUUGGUGUGAAAUCUCCCGGCUCAACUGGGAGGGUGCGCCGAAAACUGGGGGGCUAGAGUGCGGGAUGGGAAAGUGGAAUUCCUGGUGUAGCGGUGAAAUGCGUAGAUAUCAGGAGGAACACCUGUGGUGUAGACGGCUUUCUGGACCGCAACUGACGCUGAGACACGAAAGCGUGGGUAGCAAACAGG